rnacentral:rRNA from 1 species
AUUGAACGCUGGCGGCAGGCCUAACACAUGCAAGUCGAGCGGAUGAAGGGAGCUUGCUCCUGGAUUCAGCGGCGGACGGGUGAGUAAUGCCUAGGAAUCUGCCUGGUAGUGGGGGAUAACGUCCGGAAACGGGCGCUAAUACCGCAUACGUCCUGAGGGAGAAAGUGGGGGAUCUUCGGACCUCACGCUAUCAGAUGAGCCUAGGUCGGAUUAGCUAGUUGGUGGGGUAAAGGCCUACCAAGGCGACGAUCCGUAACUGGUCUGAGAGGAUGAUCAGUCACACUGGAACUGAGACACGGUCCAGACUCCUACGGGAGGCAGCAGUGGGGAAUAUUGGACAAUGGGCGAAAGCCUGAUCCAGCCAUGCCGCGUGGGUGAAGAAGGUCUUCGGUUUGUAAAGCCCUUUUGUUGGGAAAGAAAAGCAGUAGGUUAAUACCUCGCUGUUUUGACGUUACCCAAAGAAUAGGCACCGGCUAACUUCGUG